AUUUUUUACAGUGUAUAAAUAUCAAUAAAUGUGACAAAAACUGUCACAGAUGUGGCUCAGGACAUGUAAGAGCCAUUGGCUCAUGGGAAUCCAGGUUGUAGUGCAACCUGGGUCAUGUCCUGAUCUCAUUUCACCUCUCUUGGCCCUACUUUCCUGUCUACACUCAACAUUCCUAACAAAAUAAAAGACAAAAGGUCCAAAAAUGUAAAUAAAAAAGUGACUAAAACAGUUGUUGCUAGAUACGGCAGUAACCUCCAUUCUGCAGCAAACACAUUCUCACAAGAGUUUCUACAUAAUGAGCACUACAAUAUAGCCAUUACUGACAAAAAGGGAAAAAAGCAAAAACUGCAUAUAUGUUCUUUAGAGGUUGGACAAACAUUAGCAUGCAAUGACGAAAUGGACUAAAGAGGUGGAAAACUCUGCGAGGACUUUGAUCUCCAGCACACAUUGGUUACAUAAGUUACGUAAUCUUAGUCUUGUGAUGUCUGGAAGCAUUGAAGAUAUUACAGUAUGGGUGUGGACGAGGCAUUUUCAGUGCCAACUUUUGCAGUUCUUGAUUUGAACACAGCCACCCAGGCAGCUUGACUGCUGGAAUCAAUAAAAAGCUCAUUAGCUUUUCCAGUUGACCUCACAUUCGAUUCAUACAUAAAGUAACACUCUACAAAAACAACUCUACACCCCUCCCACCUUCCACGGGUGUACAAGUCCCCGAGCAGCACGGGGAAAUAAGCUUUGGUAGGAUGGAGGCCCAGGAAUGAUUUCAAUUACUGCAAGAUGUGGAAGUGGGGCUAGCCAAACAGGGAGGCAUUGUUCCACACCACUGUGGUCCGUCUCGCUGGUGUGAAGCAUUUCCCCAUGAAACCUGAAGCGGGUUGAUAUUCAAAGGGACCUGGAUACUGUCCACCCGCAACUAGAACAUUGAUCCCCUCUAGCAAGAGUUACCAGGAACUAAAUACGUUUCUCAGGUAACAAUUGCUACAGUUCAUGGGUUUUUAAAAUAACACCAGGGAAUAAAGCACUUAAUGGCAGUGAAGGAAAAGCAGAGCAUGUCUUCAGACAGCACUCUGGGGAGGAGCCAUCACAGGAUCUGCUGACGCCUCACUUACCAUGACUGUGAAUGGAGACGACCACAACUACCAUGCUCAGAAUGCAAUCCUAAUGCACUGCUUACAGCCUAGUGGCUUUAAAAAUAGAAUGUGAAACAUUUUAAAUAGCUACAUAGAUGCUACAUAGUUACAGGAGAUGGACACCCAGCUAAAAAUGAAUGUAACGUUUUGCUAACGUUAAGUUAUGAACACACAAAACAUCCAGUUUUUUAAAUUUUGGUAAUGCAAACAUUAAAGGGAAUAUUUAAUUUUGAAAA